rnacentral:rRNA from 1 species
UACAGAGGUCCCAAGCGUUGUUCGGAUUCACUGGGCGUAAAGGGUGCGUAGGCGGUAAGGUAAGUCUGACGUGAAAUCUCCGGGCCUAACCCGGAAACUGCGUUGGAUACUAUCUGACUAGAGGAAUGGAGGGGAGACUGGAAUACUUGGUGUAGCAGUGAAAUGCGUAGAUAUCAAGUGGAACACCAGUGGCGAAGGCGAGUCUCUGGACAUUUCCUGACGCUGAGGCACGAAAGCCAGGGGAGCAAACGGG